rnacentral:lncRNA from 12 species
AGAUGGGGAUGAGGAAGAGCUAGUGCUCUCCAGAGAGGCUAAGGGAUUGGGCCAGAAGAGACAUGGGCCAGGCUUGCUUCAGUUGGUCUCAGGAAGAUGGCAGCCCCUUGAGGCAUUUGCUCUUCUGAACAACACCCUCCUGAGGAACUCUUUCCUCCCCAGACUAUGGAGGCCUCGUCUCUCCACUCCCUCCCACUCCACUCCAAAACUCCUUGGUAGAAGCUCUUCUGCGGCUUGAUUACUAGAUACUGACAUUUCCUGGAAUUCUGCUGCUGCCCUCUUGUUUUGUACUUGAGCUGAACUUUCCUUAGUUGACUCCAUCAAAGCCUAUCGUUUUUACUCUGGAUCUUCCUGCUUUGGAAAGAAGGAGAGCGAUUAGAAGGAGAAGAGGGAGGUAGGAAGAAAGAAAGAAAAAGAAGAAAGAAAGAAAGAAAGAAAGAAAGAAAGAAAGAAAGAAAGAAAGAAAGAAGAAAGAAAAAGAAAGUCAGGGAAGUUGGUCUAUUAAGUCAGUUUUAAUAAGCAAAGAUGCUUAUUGCAGUGAUGAAUACAGUUCAGGAUAUAUCAGAGUAGCUAGUGACCAAGUAGAGGAGUCCCCAGUUGUAGGUUCCCAGAAUCAGAGUUUGGAAGAAGUGACAGAAUGUGAGGAGUAAGAGAGGGAGGGGUUAAGGCUGACUUCCAGGUGUCUGGCUUGAAAACAUGGGGAAUGGAUGCUCUGUCUUGCUAUGGUGACAGGGUGAAUCAGAGGAGAAACAGGUUGGCAGGGGAUGGGUUAGGGAGUUCACUUUGGGGCCCUUCAAGCUUGCCAAUCAGCACUUAGAUGCUCAGGACUGGAAGCUAGCAUAAGUUAUCAGGGGAAAGUAAAGUGUAGCAGGCCAAAAAGGAAAGAGGGAACCAAAAAGAGAGGAGAGAUGAAAUGGAAAAGGGUCCAUUAACUGCCACAGGAUAGAUCAGAGAGAUUCAAACUCCUCAUGAAGCAGCCAAAAAUAUAGGUGCCGACCAAUAAGGCCUUUUAGGUGAAGGAAGGAAAUCGAGAAGCUGACCCACUGGUGACAAUGUAUAAACGGUAAGUACCCAUAUGACUGCUAGUCUUUGUUGUAAAUCUCUUCUUGUCACUUUUCUGGAGGCUAGUUGAGCUCACCAUGCUGUCUGAAGGAGAAGGGGAACAAGAGAGAAAAGACAGCCAUCAUGUUGCCAGACAGAUCAUAUGUUGAUCAUACAGGGAAUAGUGACAAGCAAUCCCAGACAGAUGACACGUUAACCAUCCUGGUUCAGACCGCGUGGACAGGAGCCAUAGGAGAACACUCUUACUGAAGCUUGGAGUGAUCACAUGUAGCCUCCCAAAGGCUGAGUCUCGGUGGGUGGGUAGGAUUCGAAGCACUGUGAGCAAGUUUAAUGAGGUGGGGUGAGACCAGCCUGAGGACUCCCUGGAAA